ensembl:lncRNA
AAAAGGAUACGUUAGUCUUCCUUUCCCAACAACAAGACAUUUCUGUCACAAGUCUAAAAAAGACAGCAGUGAUGAUUGCCAUGGGCCAAGUGUUGCGAGCUGCUUGGGCAUCCCGCAGCAGGACAAGCUCAUUGUCAAGUCAAAUAUGAGUCUUAACUUUACUUUGGGUUUUUAAAGAAGAUGCACGGGAAAAAAACAGAAAGAAGAAGGGAGGUGACAAUUUCACCUUGAAUCAACGCAACAGCAUGCACGCCAGGCAGCAACGUCAUGCACGCGCGACAGAAAGGAGGCUAACAGGGGGCAAAUUAAGCUAAGCAGGUACGAAAGAGUUGUUCGAAACGCCACAGCAAACGCUGAGAAUAACCUGCUCGCGCUGUAUGAACGGAGUGUUGUGCAAACCUGAAAUAUCUACAAAGUCUGGAGAGGCAGCCGGCAGAGGUGAGUCCCACUCAAUGCUGUCCACUGAGAGUUCUCUGAGCAAGAGCCUUCCAUGAGUUAUCACCGGAGCUGCAAACCCAAGCGGGUCAUACAGGCUGUUUACAGUACACCACAGUAAACCAUGUCGUGUGUUUGGCUUGUCAUUGUCUGACACCUGGAAGUUGAACGUGUCUGUAACAAUAUCCCAGGGUGUGGCGCAGAGGGGAAAGACGACUGAGGGCCUGCUCUUUAUUAUUCGGGAGGUGUGGCCUCAUGGGACCUCCUGGGAUGUUUAAAGGGCAGAGAUGCGACCCAGCUGUUGGCCUCAUCUUUAUACAUGUGUUCAUCCAUCAUUUUCAAGAAUUUUUCAUCUUCUAUGGAAAGAGCAAGUUUGUUGUCAUCUUUAGUUUUCUGAAAGACAGGGUUUCCUAGUAUUUUUUCCUUUGCUUUGCUUUUCAGUGUGUGUGAGAGCUCCUUGAUUUGAAUGUGGCUGGGGCAUGGAGUGAACAAUGAGGGGCGUCCAUUUCCCAGUACAUUAGUCUUUGUACUGUAAACGUUCGGCUUGUGGGUAUUUCCCAGGAACGUCUCACCUACUAACACCCAGCCAAGAUCUAGCUUCUAGGCGAAGGGGGCGUUGUUAGGCCCAUUGAUGUGUUGUGUGAUGGCCCCUUACACACCUCCAACACACCCCCAAAUUUGACCAAACUGUAUCCUCCCAUGACUGACUGGUAUUUAAACUUGAACACUGUAAUGUAAGUUAUACUCUUCUCUCCUCGUUUCUAUAUCGUAUGCUAGGCCAGGCAAAGUAACCCAUUUUGGAGCCAAAAAUAGAAUUAAUUGUAAAAUAAUUUCUUUCAGCAUAGAUCAUUUCUAUGAGGUGUCCAGAACAACAUACUAAAAGUCCU